UGGUUCUGGCAUCGAUGAAGAACGCAGCGAAAUGCGAUAAGUAAUGCGAAUUGCAGAAUUUCCGUGAGUCAUCGAAUCUUUGAACGCACAUUGCGCCCUUUGGCAUUCCGAAGGGCAUGCCUGUCCGAGCGUCAUUAUCCUCCCUCAAGCCCCCGGGUUUGGUGUUGGACCGCGUUGGCCUCUCCGGCCAACUGGUCUCAAAGACAAUGACGGCGUCCCAGGGACCCUCUUCGCACUGAGCUUUCCGGAGCACGCGAGGAGUUUCAAGGGCCCUAGGACCCGGUCGCCUCUUAAUUAAUUUUUCAGGUUGACCUCGGAUCAGGUAGGAAUACCCGCUGA
rnacentral:misc_RNA from 1 species